GCCUUAUAAAUAUGUAUUAAACGCAAGACAGUUUAGCAUAUCCCUUUAAGGUGAAUUAAGAUUUUAGAAGCAUAAAUUGAACUCUUGUUGCGUAGCUGAUAAGUUGAAACAAGAUAGAUUUAUGUGGAGUAGGUUAACCGUAAGACCUUAAGUUGAAAAGCUUUAAAGUUGAUUUUAUUAGUUUUUAUAGCUAAUAAAUUACGGUUCU
rnacentral:ncRNA from 1 species